rnacentral:rRNA from 1 species
CUCUUAACUGAACAUUGAGACAGAAUGCGUGUUCCUAGUGGGCCAUUUUUGGUAAGCAGAACUGGCGAUGAGGGAUGAACCUAACGUUGAGUUAAGGUGCCCAACUAUACGCUCAUGAGAUACCACAAAAGGUGUUGAUUCAUCUAAACAGCAGGACGGUGGACAUAAAAGUCGUCAUCCGCUAAGGAGUGUGUUACAACUCACCUGCCGAAUGAAUUAGCCCUGAAAAUGGAUGGCGCUAAAGCGUAUGACCGAUACUCAACCAUCAAUACAAAGAAAGUAGUGAUGAGUAGGAGGGCGUGGGUGUUGUAAGAAGAUUAUGGCGUGAAGCCUGAUUGGAACGACAUCUAGUGCAGAUCUUGGUGGUAGUAGCAAAAUAGCCAAUUGGAAACGUUGGCGGCCGAAGUGGAGAAGGGAAG